CAAAGUUACUCACGUCAAAGGCGGAAAGGAAGUAUUAACAGCUUGAGAGGCCUAAAUGGACCCAGAGCCAUGAACUCUUCCCACUCUGCCAUGUGCCACCCUGCCUUGGAGCCUGCUGAUUAUGGACUCAAACCUCCGCAUACUCUUUGUACAGCACUGUACUUGGUCCUGCCAUUCCCAUCCCGUGACUUCCUGUGCAGCCAGUCGUCACUGUACCAGGGAAGCUGUCUCACGGCUCUCCCAGACAGUCUUCGUCCUCCUCCAGCUCCCAAGCCUCUGCCUACGUUCUAGCCUGUGUCAUCCUCUGAAGACUUUCGCCACCUCUUCAACAUUCUGGCUCCUUGUGCUGUGGCUCCUGCCACCAUCGCCAAACGCCGUUCAAGUGACCCAUCCUACAAAAACAAACCGUUAUCUCCUCUGAAGAUCUUUCC